rnacentral:ncRNA from 1 species
AUAAAGUUUAAUUCUGGCUUAAAGAUUUAUUUAAUUUUUUUUUUACAUGUAAAUAUUUGUGUGAAUUGUAAUUAAAUUUUAAUAAUUUUUUUAUAUAAUUUUUAUUCGCAGUAUAUAAUUUUAAUAAUUUAAGAAAUUAAGAAUUAUAAAUAAAUUUUUAUAUUAACAAAUUUUGUGCCAGCAGUUGCGGUUAUACAGAGAAUGUAAAUAAAUCUUAUUAGUAAAUAAUUAUAUGUAUUAUAAAAUUAAAAUAAAAUUUUAUUUAUUAGGUGAAAUUUUAAAUAAAAAAUUAAUUUUAAUAUAAAUUUUUAUUAUUAUGAAAUUUAUUUUUAAACUAGGAUUAGAUACCCUAUUAUUUUAAAUGUAAAUUAAGAGUACUAAAGUAGUAUUAGUUAUGUUCUUGAAAUUUAAAGAUUUUGGCGGUAUUUUAGUCUAUUUAGAGGAACCUGUUCUGUAAUUGAUAUUCCACGAUUAACUUUACUUAAUUAAUAUAAAUUUGUAUACCGUCGUUAUAAGAAAAUUUUAAAAGAAGAUUAAAUUUUUAAUAUUUUAAAUAAAAAAUUAUAUCAGAUCAAGGUGCAGUUAAUAAUUAAGAAGAAAUGGGUUACAAUAAAUUUAUUUACUAUUACGGAUUGAAGUAAGAAUAUAACUUUUAUGAAGGAGGAUUUAAUAGUAACGUGAUUAAUUUAAAUUGUGUGAUUUUAGCUCUAAAAUAUGUACAUAUCGCCCGUCGCUCUUAUUAUAAAAUAAGAUAAGUCGUAACAGAGUAGAUGUACUGGAAAGUGUAUCUAGAAUGAU